UACGUAGGUGGCAAGCGUUGUCCGAAAUUACUGGGCGUAAAGCGCGCGCAGGCGGUCUUCCAAGUCAGUGGUGAAAGCCCGGAGCUCAACUCCGGAACUGCCAUUGAAACUGUAAGACUUGAGGAUGAGAGAGGUGAGUGGAAUUCCCAGUGUAGAGGUGAAAUUCGUAGAUAUUGGGAAGAACACCGGUGGCGAAGGCGGCUCACUGGCUCAUAUCUGACGCUCAGGCGCGACAGCGUGGGGAUCAAACAGG
rnacentral:rRNA from 1 species